rnacentral:lncRNA from 1 species
CAAAACCGAACGAACAGGUUGAGAGGCAGCAGCAGGCAGCCAUAUGCCAUUAGCUCACGCAGGAGCUAGCUAGCAGUUUAAUCACUCGCUGCCCGCGGGCUUGUAGGCGAUGAAGCUGACGCACUGCGUCUGCUUGAUGUUGUCGAAGCCGAGGAUCCGGACGUAGGCGUCCGGGUAGGAGGCGAUGGCCUCCUGCAGCUCCUUGUAGACCUGCGACGCGUCGGUGCAGCCGAACAUGGGCAGCUUCCACAUGGUCCAGUAGCGGCCGUCGUAGUAGCACGGGGAGGUGGAGUUCUCGCGGUACACGAAGCCUUCCUUGCUGAACUCGAGGCAGGGCACCCAGUUGUUGCGCAGCAGGUAGUCCACCUGCUUCAGCAGCUGCUCCUCCGUCAGCGGCGGCAGGUACGACAGCGUCUCGAACUUCUUGUUCCCGUACGCCGGCCACACCUGCAAAUUAAUGCAUGCAUCGAUCGAUGUACGUGUUUGUGGUUGCAUUUCGCUAGCUCUGCUGCAAAGAAUGAAUGAAGAUGGCCGGCCGGAGCCAAGAACGAAAGGCCAACUAGCUCUUGUGUUAAUUAUGUUGUUAUUACCUGCAUGCACCGGAUCCUGCCGCCGUUGCUGACUUUGGCGAGGCUGGUGGUGGAGCGGCGGGCGACGGGGAGGGUGGCGGUGGACUUGAGACCCUGGAACGGAGCGACGGCGGUGGCGGACGAGGCCAUCACGGUGGGCGCCAUUGCUGCUGCUAUGUAGUACUAGUAGCUAGUGAGGGAGCGAGCUGAGAGUGAGCUGCUUGCUGUUUUUGCUGCUUCUUGCUGCUUGG